CCUACGGGAGGCAGCAGUGGGGAUCUGCGCAUGGCGAAGCUGACGCAGCACGCGCGUGGGGAUGAAGCUUCGGGUGUAAACCCCUUUCAGCAGGGACGAGCGAGAGUGACGGUACUGCAGAAGAAGCACCGGCCAACUACGUGCCAGCAGCCGCGGUAAUACGUAGGGUGCAAGCGUGUCCGGGAAUUAUUGGGCGUAAAGAGCUCGUAGGCGGUCUGUCGCGUCGGCUGUGAAAACUCGGGGCUCAACCCCGAGCCUGCAGUCGAUACGGGCAGACUAGAGUGCUGUAGGGGAGACUGGAAUUCCUGGUGUAGCGGUGAUAUGCGCAGAUAUCAGGAGGAACACCGGUGGCGAAGGCGGGUCUCUGGGCAGUAACUGACGCUGAGGAGCGAAAGCGUGGGGAGCGAACAGGAUUAGAUACCCUGGUAGUCCACGCCGUAAACGGUGGGUGCUAGGUGUGAGCGGUAUUCCACGCCGUUCGUGCCGCAGCUAACGCAUUAAGCACCCCGCCUGGGGAGUACGGCCGCAAGGCUAAAACUCAAAGGAAUUGACGGGGGCCCGCACAAGCAGCGGAGCAUGUGGCUUAAUUCGACGCAACGCGAAGAACCUUACCAAGGCUUGACAUGCAGGGAAAUCCUCCAGAGAUGGGGGGUCCGCAAGGGUCCUGCACAGGUGGUGCAUGGUUGUCGUCAGCUCGUGUCGUGAGAUGUUGGGUUAAGUCCCGCAACGAGCGCAACCCUCGUUCUAUGUUGCCAGCGCGUGAUGGCGGGGACUCAUAGGAGACUGCCGGGGUCAACUCGGAGGAAGGUGGGGAUGACGUCAAAUCAUCAUGCCCCUUAUGUCUUGGGCUGCACACAUGCUACAAUGGCCGGUACAAAGGGCUGCUAAGCCGUGAGGUGGAGCGAAUUCCAAAAAGCCGGUCUCAGUUCGGAUUGGGGUCUGCAACUCGACCCCAUGAAGUCGGAGUUGCUAGUAAUCGCAGAUCAGCAACGCCGCGGUGAAUACGUUCCCGGG
rnacentral:rRNA from 1 species